GGGAAGCAUUUGGAAAAGGUCAUAGAGAAGCUUUUAUAUGUUAUUUUGUACCAACCAGACUCUUUGUCACUCUCUCUCUCACACACACAAUUACUCGAAGUCUAAUAAGAGGGAUUUUUGUCAGGUAUGUGAACGAGAUAUUCUCCUAUCAUUUGAUUGCAAAAGUGGAAAAAUAGAGAAAACAAAUCACAAAUCCUUUUUUUCUGUCACACCCGUCCCCUCGAUUUUUCCAAAGUUAUGAAAUAGAAAACAAGGCAGAACUCAACGCCAACCACCACCCCAAUGUUCAAGCUUUAUUAUUAUAACAUGUUCAAAUACUCCAAAUGGAAACCUGCUCUUGCCUUAUUAAUUACCAGGAAUGCACUCUAGAGUUUCCCUCCAAAACCUUAAUGGUGAAAAAUGUGCCAACGAGAAGCCACAAGGCAUUAGAGUGUUUUUUGCUCCCGGUCCGACCUGCGGGCCCGGGUUUCGUCUGCAGGGGCGGAGCCAAACGAUGGAGCUAUGUAAAAACAGCGGUGGCGGGUUUGGAUCUGUGUUCAAUUGGUCUUUGAACCUCAGUAAUACGAGUUCACCGCCGUAGUUCACGGCAUUAUCGGAAUUUGCACAGAACCAUCAACAAACCUUAGUACAUACACACCAUUGGGGGAUGACAGUUGUUUUUUCCAAUGGGGGAAACUCCCUAAUGGCAUGACAAUAGAAACCCUUUGUUCCCAUGCAAAACAAAUGACAGGAGGUUUUGUAGGACAUUUAUCUACACUGCUGUCAUCAAUAUCACACAGCAAAGUGAAUUAUUCUUUGUAACUAAGCUAUACAUGUACAGAAAACAUAUAUACAUACGUACUUUUUCUUUGAUCAUUUAAUUAUAAAAAAAACAUCAGAUUAACAAAUUAUAGUAAUAAUGAGGCACCAUCCUGGGAAUAAAUAACCACAUUGACGUUGACGUCAACGGUCAAAGUACUAUUCCACAUUACGAGUGAACAAUGAAGGUUGGCAUUUGAGCAGAGGCUACGUGUCUACCGAUUAUCACGGUACACAUGAACUCACUAUCUAAAAUUAUGAGGAAACUUCUAUCAUAUAUAAACAUAACUGUCAAUCUCGCUAACCAAUUUCCCUCACGGUGAGUGAUCGAUCAAAACAACACUAGAACAGCAGCAUGGUACACCAUAGUAAUAUCUAUGGAGCAAUUAUGUAGUUUAGCGGUCCUGCACAAUAAGCCUUUGUAAUGGUAAACUUAAAAAGUUAUUAACAGAAUCUGACCAAUCUCUGCCCUGACAAAAGCCUAAACAGAGAAGUGGCGGUCGACGCGUUUCUUCAACUUUCCUUUUAAACUUGGCGCUGCUGCGCCAAGCUUUGCCGCGUUGACUUGUGUGGGAAGAGAAUCUAAAAAUACCUCCCCCCACGAAAAACUCCAUUUGCUUAUCUGGUCCAUUGUUCAGCAGAGUUAAAGAUUGUCAACCAUGGUUUUCCAUAAAACUAACGUUGUUUCUUCACCUGCCUCCACCAACUUGAGUCAGACUGAAGGCGCUGGAGGUGGGCUUGUUGUUUAAAGUCACAGUGACGUCGAGGCCUUAACGCGAGCAUCCCCCGUUGGGUCUGUGGCCCUCUUCCAAUGACAAAUCGGUGCCGAGUUUGGGACUAAAAAUCCCCCGCAGGUGUGGUUACGGUCUUGGUUUAAUCUUCAUAAAAAGACCUUAUUUCCAACACAUGGUGAGUGCCCCAACACUACUGAGAGGGAACACUUUCCAUCUCAAUGCUGCACCAAAUUCAAAAAAUGUAUCGUCCCAAAUUGGUCACUUACACUUCAGCGACCCAGUGGACGUGGACGCAUGAAACAAAAAGUGUCCGUAGUAAAGAGGUCGGGGUUAAAAGAUUCUUCCUGUUUGGGGCCUUCAGCCUACUCCCAAGACCAGGCAGGUCCACUAUCCUGUGUGGGUAGUAUAAAAGAGAGGGAGGAGUCUUCUUGAUUACCUCCUUUUCAAUGCUGCUUAUCUCCAUGGGCUCAGGUGGUAC
ensembl:lncRNA